GGGGGGCUACCGGCUAAGACGAAGCCGAUUCAGAUUGGAGCAAAUCGAACAUCGAUUUGAUCCUGUCGUACCGCGUAAGCAGCCAAGAUGGCGAUCCCCGAUUCGUGACGUCACAUGAAGUUCGGCAAGCCGAUUGAACGAAUGAUUUCAGUACUUUUGAUACUUAGAUCGGUACCGCGUAAAAAAUCGAAGUUCGGCGUCUGAAGCCGAUUCCCAUUGGAAGUGUCAGUUGAAGCCGGGCACUUUUCAGUAACCGUGAUCAAUUUUAAUUUCUUAUUUUCACUGUUUUUCAACAAUAUUAGGAACUAUUUACGGUGGGCGACACAUUUUAGAAACAUCUUAAUCAAUAUAAAAUUGAUAUCGGCGUGGAUUUUCGUGUUUAAAUACCUAAAUACAGUGUUAUGGAGAUAGUCGUAUUGUGGGCUGCUGCGGAAGAAAAUGUCUUCAGAAUCUUGAGCAAAUCGAUUGCAGGAUACUUCGAGAGAAAAGCCAGUAUAUACUUCUCACAGGUACAUCUAUUUAUAACAUUAUUUCUGACAAGUGGCUCAAUGUUUACAGAGGAAAAGUUGCUGAACUUACUAGAAGCGAUUUUUGAUCAUUUCAUACUUAUCUAUUUUGUUUUGUUUCAGAGAGUAGCUACAUUGAUAAUUUUAGAUUAUCAAAAGAUGCAUUUCGGACUUUGUAUCAUGACUUAGGACCAUAUCUGAAGGAGGUCCAAUGCUCUACAACUGUGCAACCGACUUUAAGUGACAAAUGCCCUCAAUCAGCCUGCCAUCGUGAGAUAAUAUAUCAAGUUUCCUCGGACAGAGUAGAAGUCUCCAGAGGUUUCAAUGACAAAUUUGGAUUUCUUGGAGUACUUGGAUGCAUCCACGGCACACACAUUGCCAUUAUCCAACCUCACGAGUGGGAAGAGGCCUUCUUCAAUAGUUUGUGAUGGAGAUAUGUGCAUUACUAUGGGAGUGUUAGUGCUAGACUGCUAGCCAAGAUAACCAUAUUUGGAACAACAGCACUUUGAG
rnacentral:lncRNA from 1 species